UACGUAGGGUGCAAGCGUUCAUCGGAAUUCCUGGGCGUAAAGCGUGCGCAGGCGGUUGUGCAAGACCGAUGUGAAAUCCCCGGGCUUAACCUGGGAACUGCAUUGGUGACUGCACGGCUAGAGUGUGUCAGAGGGGGGUAGAAUUCCACGUGUAGCAGUGAAAUGCGUAGAGAUGUGGAGGAAUACCGAUGGCGAAGGCAGCCCCCUGGGAUAACACUGACGCUCAUGCACGAAAGCGUGGGGAGCAAACAGG
rnacentral:rRNA from 1 species